rnacentral:rRNA from 1 species
UUUAGCAUGGAAUAAUGGAAUAGGACGCGCGGUUCUAUUUUGUUGGUUUCUAGGACCGCCGUAAUGAUUAAUAGGGACAGUCGGGGGCAUCAGUAUUCAAUAGUCAGAGGUGAAAUUCUUGGAUCUAUUGAAGACUAACUACUGCGAAAGCAUUUGCCAAGGAUGUUUUCAUUAAUCAGGAACGAAAGUUAGGGGAUCGAAGACGAUCAGAUACCGUCGUAGUCCUAACCAUAAACUAUGCCGACUAGGGAUCGGACAGUGCUAUUCUUUGGCCUGUUCGGCACCUUGCGCGAAAGCAUAAGUGUCUGGGUUCUGGGGGGAGUAUGGUCGCAAGGCCGAAACUUAAAGAAAUUGACGGAAGGGCACCACCAGGGGUGGAGCCUGCGGCUUAAUUUGACUCAACACGGGGAAACUCACCAGGUCCAGACAUGAUGAGGAUUGACAGAUUGAGAGCUCUUUCUUGAUUUCAUGGGUGGUGGUGCAUGGCCGUUCUUAGUUGGUGGAGUGAUUUGUCUGCUCAAUUGCGAUAACGAACGAGACCUUAACCUACUAAAUAGCCCGCCUUGCUUUGGCAGGGUGCUGGCUUCUUAGAGGGACUAUCGGCUCAAGCCGAUGGAAGUUUGAGGCAAUAACAGGUCUGUGAUGCCCUUAGAUGUUCUGGGCCGCACGCGCGCUACACUGACACAGCCAGCGAGCUUUUCCUUGGCCGAAGGGUCCGGGUAAUCUUGUGAAACUGUGUCGUGCUGGGGAUAGAGCAUUGCAAUA